GGCCCUUAUGUCCAGGGCUACACACGUGUUACAAUGGUCGGUACAGAGGGCAGCUACCUGGUGACAGGAUGCUAAUCUCGAAAACCCGGUCUCAGUUCGGAUCGAAGUCUGCAACUCGACUUCGUGAAGCUGGAUUCGCUAGUAAUCGCGCAUCAGCUAUGGCGCGGUGAAUACGUUCCCGGGCCGUU
rnacentral:rRNA from 1 species